UGUCGGGUUAUUUGACCAAUUGCACACAGAAUUCGGGACGACAUGUUUACACUGAUUUGUCUAGGCACAGUUCGUUGUAAGACUUAAAAAUUAAUUUA